AGUGAACGCUGGCGGCAGGCCUAACACAUGCAAGUCGAACGGCAGCACAGAGGAGCUUGCUCCUUGGGUGGCGAGUGGCGGACGGGUGAGGAAUACAUCGGAAUCUGCCUAUUUGUGGGGGAUAACGUAGGGAAACUUACGCUAAUACCGCAUACGACCUACGGGUGAAAGCAGAGGACCUUCGGGCUUCGCGCAGAUAGAUGAGCCGAUGUCGGAUUAGCUAGUUGGCGGGGUAAAGGCCCACCAAGGCGACGAUCCGUAGCUGGUCUGAGAGAAUGAUCAGCCACACUGGAACUGAGACACGGUCCAGACUCCUACGGGAGGCAGCAGUGGAGAAUAUUGGACAAUGGGCGCAAGCCUGAUCCAGCCAUGUCGCGUGGGUGAAGAAGGCCUUCGGGUUGUAAAGCCCUUUUGUUGGGAAAGAAAAGCAGUCGGUUAAUACCCGAUUGUUCUGACGGUACCCAAAGAAUAAGCACCGGCUAACUUCGUGCCAGCCGCCGCCGUAAAAC
rnacentral:rRNA from 1 species